GUGAAGAUAAAUAUAACUUUAGUGAUAUAUGGAAAAAAAAAAGGGUAUAGCAGUAAUUAAAAUAAAUAAAUAGCAAAACCAUUAUUAACCUGUGCCGAGAUUCGGAGAACAAAACAUUAUUACUGAAGAGACAGAGAUGGACAGAAGAACAUUAUCAUUCUCUUGAUUUUGAAAACAUCGUACAUCUUCUCUUGUCACUUUCAGUUUCUGUUAUCGUACCCACCCACCACCAAACAUACAUACAGAUCAGUCCGUGACCUUAACAUUUUUUUUCUUUCUUUCUCUAUGGGAUUCAAAACUAUCCAUAUAAUGUUUCAACAGAUUUCUAUGAAUCUUCUUAGUACUCAACAAGAAAAAAUCACCACAUUUCAUUU
rnacentral:lncRNA from 1 species